rnacentral:rRNA from 1 species
UACAUGGGGUGCAAACGUUGCUCGGAAUUAUUGGGCGUAAAGCGCACGUAGGCGGUUUGUUAAGUCGGAUGUGAAAUCCCUCGGCUCAACUGAGGAAGUUCACCCGAAACUGGCAGGCUUGAGUACUAAAGAGGGUCGCGGAAUUCCCGGUGUAGAGGUGAAAUUCGUAGAUAUCGGGAGGAACACCGGUGGCGAAGGCGGCGACCUGGGUAGAUACUGACGCUGAGGUGCGAAAGCGUGGGGAGCAAACAGG